rnacentral:misc_RNA from 1 species
GUACUCUCACACUCCCAAUGCUUUUGGAUUGGGAGCGGUGGACUUGGGUGUUGCUGCUUUACAGUGGCUCGCCUCAAAUGGAGUAGUGCAACUCUUGGUUGGACAUAGUACGGCGUGAUAAGUAUCUUCGCCGGCGCCUCAUUAGAGGGUGGCUGAUCAGGAGCUCUGUGCUUCAAACCGUCUUCGGACGAACUCUUAUAUCAA